rnacentral:lncRNA from 1 species
AUUUAUAUUCACUGAAAAUAUAUUUUUGAUCCUUAAGUUUUCAGUGAAUCUUAAAAACUUCACAAAUGAUUUUCAUUUAAGUCCCUGAAGUUUUGGCUAAAUUUAUAUUCACUGAAAAAUAUAGCUUUAAUCCUUAAACUUUCAGUGAAUUAUUUUAAACUUAGAAACUUCAAACAUAAUUUAUGUUUAAGCCCUUGAAGUUUUAAAGUUCAAGACUUUGAGAAGUCGAUCAAUACUUCAAAAGAAUUUUGAUUUUAUACCUUGAAGUAUUAACUAAUGUCCAUGCAGCCCUCAACUUUUUGAUGUUGCUGAUAUCUUCUUUAUGCAUGCAUGCCCUUAUGUUUAUAAACUUAGAAGAUUAAAAUCAUAAAACGAUUUUUCAUUUCAGUAGAAGGGGUGAUACAUGACAGGGUUGAUCUCAUAUUCAAUGAGACAACGAUCCAUGAAUGGAUCUCCAAA